rnacentral:lncRNA from 1 species
UCGCAUUUCGGGGCUUGGUUCCAUUUUGAGGUCUAGUUGUUGCGUGUGUGAAUUUUUUUGGUACGGACGUUCAGCAAUGGAUCGGGGGACGGAUCCAAACGCGAAUCUUUUAGAACGGGCGGUUCCGCCACGUAAGCAAAUGCCGCCGCGGAACCGACAGCGUUGACUGCUGUGGUUAACCAUGGACAGCUGCGAGAAUCUAUCCGUCUGAUCUCAUGGGGAUUUUGUCUGUCCCAUGCAGCCUGCGACCCGGCAGUCCGCUCUGUCCCUGCCAUCUCAUUUUACCC